ensembl:lncRNA
UUUUACUCCAAACAUUUACUGGACUGAUUUAAACAUUAAAAUCACUCCUUUCUAAUCCUCUGCUGUACGUUCAAACCUGAGGCCUUAAAUAGAAACACACAAGUAUCUGAUUGAAGGAACUUCUGCAGAGUCCUGGUUCCAGAACAUGAUGAUAGAAUUAUAGACAAACUUUAACAAAAGCUGCCUGAGAGUUUACAGGAUUUUAUGUUAGAUUUCUUCAGUAAUUUAAUGAGAGUUAUCAGCAAAAAUCAAGUGUUCAUUUGAUGAACUUCACUUCCUAAAACAUCCAGAAUUGGAGCUCAUAUCUUUGGCAGCUGUAAAGUUUCUGCUCCUUCAAAGUUCACAACACAAUGAAUGAAUUCCUAAAACACUCUCAAUGCUGGAGAGCGUUUUUGAUGCUGAAGCAGUGACCAGUUUUUCUGUUUCUUCUCUGGAGAUGCACAAUGAGGGACGUCUGCAGAGACUGAGAAAGAGUCUCACCACAUCCUGACAUGAGGAAAAAGACUUUAUUGAAGACUACAAUGAGAAAAACUAUCAGACAGCAGACGGCUGCAUUCAAGGCUACAGGAGGAGUCCUACAAGGACGAGCCGGUCCACCUGAUGGCGGCCAGUCGCUGCGGUUCAAAGCCAACACCGACUACGUGGACUUCUACUGGACCACAUGGAGGCCUUCAAACCGGACCAACAAGUUCAGCGACUCCCCGACUCGUGGGUCUGAGGACGCCGCCGAGCCUCGGUCCAGCCGGCCUCCUGUCUGUGGGUGUUUGAGUGCUGAGAGGUUUGUGGAUGCAUGUGAACAUUCUGUGUUGAAACAGCAGCUUUGGACUCAGUAACGCCGGA